AUUGAACGCUGGCGGCAGGCCUAACACAUGCAAGUCGAGCGGAUGAAGGGAGCUUGCUCCUGGAUUCAGCGGCGGACGGGUGAGUAAUGCCUAGGAAUCUGCCUGGUAGUGGGGGAUAACGUCCGGAAACGGGCGCUAAUACCGCAUACGUCCUGAGGGAGAAAGUGGGGGAUCUUCGGACCUCACGCUAUCAGAUGAGCCUAGGUCGGAUUAGCUAGUUGGUGGGGUAAAGGCCUACCAAGGCGACGAUCCGUAACUGGUCUGAGAGGAUGAUCAGUCACACUGGAACUGAGACACGGUCCAGACUCCUACGGGAGGCAGCAGUGGGGAAUAUUGGACAAUGGGCGAAAGCCUGAUCCAGCCAUGCCGCGUGUGUGACGAAGGUCUUCGGAUUGUAAAGCACUUUAAGUUGGGAGGAAGGGCAGUAAGUUAAUACCUUGCUGUUUUGACGUUACCAACAGAAUAAGCACCGGCUAACUUCGUG
rnacentral:rRNA from 1 species